UUAAAUUGAAGAGUUUGAUCAUGGCUCAGAUUGAACGCUGGCGGCAGGCCUAACACAUGCAAGUCGAACGGUAACAGGAAACAGCUUGCUGUUUCGCUGACGAGUGGCGGACGGGUGAGUAAUGUCUGGGAAACUGCCUGAUGGAGGGGGAUAACUACUGGAAACGGUAGCUAAUACCGCAUAACGUCGCAAGACCAAAGAGGGGGACCUUAGGGCCUCUUGCCAUCGGAUGUGCCCAGAUGGGAUUAGCUAGUAGGUGGGGUAAAGGCUCACCUAGGCGACGAUCCCUAGCUGGUCUGAGAGGAUGACCAGCCACACUGGAACUGAGACACGGUCCAGACUCCUACGGGAGGCAGCAGUGGGGAAUAUUGCACAAUGGGCGCAAGCCUGAUGCAGCCAUGCCGCGUGUAUGAAGAAGGCCUUCGGGUUGUAAAGUACUUUCAGCGGGGAGGAAGGGAGUAAAGUUAAUACCUUUGCUCAUUGACGUUACCCGCAGAAGAAGCACCGGCUAACUCCGUGCCAGCAGCCGCGGUAAUACGGAGGGUGCAAGCGUUAAUCGGAAUUACUGGGCGUAAAGCGCACGCGGGCGGUUUGUUAAGUCAGAUGUGAAAUCCCCGGGCUCAACCUGGGAACUGCAUCUGAUACUGGCAAGCUUGAGUCUCGUAGAGGGGGGUAGAAUUCCAGGUGUAGCGGUGAAAUGCGUAGAGAUCUGGAGGAAUACCGGUGGCGAAGGCGGCCCCCUGGACGAAGACUGACGCUCAGGUGCGAAAGCGUGGGGAGCAAACAGGAUUAGAUACCCUGGUAGUCCACGCCGUAAACGAUGUCGACUUGGAGGUUGUGCCCUUGAGGCGUGGCUUCCGGAGCUAACGCGUUAAGUCGACCGCCUGGGGAGUACGGCCGCAAGGUUAAAACUCAAAUGAAUUGACGGGGGCCCGCACAAGCGGUGGAGCAUGUGGUUUAAUUCGAUGCAACGCGAAGAACCUUACCUGGUCUUGACAUCCACGGAAGUUUUCAGAGAUGAGAAUGUGCCUUCGGGAACCGUGAGACAGGUGCUGCAUGGCUGUCGUCAGCUCGUGUUGUGAAAUGUUGGGUUAAGUCCCGCAACGAGCGCAACCCUUAUCCUUUGUUGCCAGCGGUCCGGCCGGGAACUCAAAGGAGACUGCCAGUGAUAAACUGGAGGAAGGUGGGGAUGACGUCAAGUCAUCAUGGCCCUUACGACCAGGGCUACACACGUGCUACAAUGGCGCAUACAAAGAGAAGCGACCUCGCGAGAGCAAGCGGACCUCAUAAAGUGCGUCGUAGUCCGGAUUGGAGUCUGCAACUCGACUCCAUGAAGUCGGAAUCGCUAGUAAUCGUGGAUCAGAAUGCCACGGUGAAUACGUUCCCGGGCCUUGUACACACCGCCCGUCACACCAUGGGAGUGGGUUGCAAAAGAAGUAGGUAGCUUAACCUUCGGGAGGGCGCUUACCACUUUGUGAUUCAUGACUGGGGUGAAGUCGUAACAAGGUAACCGUAGGGGAACCUGCGGUUGGAUCACCUCCUUACCUUAAAGAAGC
rnacentral:rRNA from 1 species